GAUUUUCAGAAAACAGGUACUAAGAUUGGAACGAUGCAGAGAAGAUUAGCGUCGCCGCUGCACAAGGUGACACGCAGAUUCGUGAAGCGCCCCACGUUUCU
rnacentral:snRNA from 1 species